GCCAGUGUAGCUCAGCGGUAGAGCAACGGUUUCGUAAACCGUAGGCCGUCGGUUCGAAUCCGACCACUGGCUCCA
rnacentral:tRNA from 1 species